UACAAUAAAUUCUAUAACCCAAUUAAGAUUAAUUUAAUUAAGUUACAAAAUUAAUAACUUGAGAUAAUAAAAAUAUAUCUCUUAACUUAAUAUAAUUUAUUAUUCUCCCACAAGUGGGCUUAGCUUGGGCUCUCAAUAAUUAAUUCCAUUGAGCUAGCCAUUUUACUUGAUUACUUACUAACAAAAAUAAAAUUAGGCUUCCUCUACAAAUUAGAUUGGGCCUUUAUAAUUCUUGUCCCAUACAUAAUAUGCUAGGCUAGAUUAUUAAUUUAAUCGCCCUUAAAUCAUAUUAUCUACAAGUCUCAUACUUAAUUAAUN
rnacentral:lncRNA from 1 species